rnacentral:misc_RNA from 1 species
ACACCUCAACUCUUGUGGUUUGCCACAAUGAGCUUGGACGUUGGGGGUCUUGCUGGCCUAUGGUCAGCUCCUCUCAAAUCGAUCAGCUUGCCAGUGUUUGGUGGCAAUCACGGGUGUGAUAACUAUCUACGCUUGUGGUUUCCCACCAGGUAACCUUCAGUGAUGGAGGUUCGCUGGGGCUCAUAAAUGUCUCUCCACAGCGAGGACAGCUUUUUGAAC